CAGUCGCCGCGGGAAUACGUAGGGUGCAAGCGUUAAUCGGAAUUACUGGGCGUAAAGCGUGCGCAGGCGGUUCGCUAAGACAGAUGUGAAAUCCCCGGGCUUAACCUGGGAACUGCAUUUGUGACUGGCGGGCUAGAGUAUGGCAGAGGGGGGUAGAAUUCCACGUGUAGCAGUGAAAUGCGUAGAGAUGUGGAGGAAUACCGAUGGCGAAGGCAGCCCCCUGGGCCAAUACUGACGCUCAUGCACGAGAGCGUGGGGAGCAAACAGGAUUAGAGACCCCUGUAGUCCCUGUCUCUUAUAC
rnacentral:rRNA from 1 species